UACAGAGGUCUCAAGCGUUGUUCGGAUUCAUUGGGCGUAAAGGGUGUGUAGGUGGCGCCGUAAGUCGGGUGUGAAAUUUCGGAGCUUAACUCCGAAACUGCAUUCGAUACUGCGGUGCUUGAGGACUGGAGAGGAGACUGGAAUUCAUGGUGUAGCGGUGAAAUGCGUAGAUAUCGUAAGGAAGACCAGUGGCGAAGGCGGCAUCCUGGACCGACAUUGACGCUGAACGGCGAAAGCUAGGGGAGCAAACGGG
rnacentral:rRNA from 1 species